rnacentral:lncRNA from 1 species
UGUUAUUACAGAGAAAAGAAAGAAAAUGAAUACUCGGUAGGUGAGAAAAAUAUCUCACCUACAUAUAUACAUGUUACACACGGAUGGGUUGGGUCGGGUGAUCCAGCCCAAAAUUAAAUAAUGACAAUUGGGCUCAGACACAAAAUCAUCACAGCCCAGUUACAACCAAAUUACAAGGUAUACCAUGGAUAUACCGAAACUAUACACUGAGUAUACACAAA